rnacentral:lncRNA from 1 species
AUGCCCCAGUUUGACUGUUUUGCUGAUUCUCAUGAUACAGCUGAAUGAGCUUCUCUGGUGCUCAAGAAGUCGGGUAAUCUCAUCAGGAAUCCCCUUCAACAUCAUCUUCCUCUGCUCCGAAUACAAAGAGUUCAAGAUUGGGAGAUGGCGUUGGAUCAUUAUGUUCAAUGGGUUUAGAAAUCCCUGCAUAAUGAUUCUGGAUAAUGAAA